GACAGCAGUCUGAGGGGGGUUACUUCCCCAGCUAAUGCUAGUACCCAUUUACACCUUGGUGGACUUGGACAAUACAGACGAAG